rnacentral:rRNA from 1 species
UGAGGAAUUUUGCGCAAUGGCCGCAAGGCUGACGCAGCAACGCCGCGUGGGUGAUGAAGGCCUUCGGGUCGUAAAGCCCUGUCAGGUGGGAAGAAAGGCUUUGAGAAGAAACGCUUGAGGUUUGACGGUACCACCAGAGGAAGCACCGGCUAACUCCGUGCCAGCAGCCGCGGUAAUACGGAGGGUGCGAGCGUUAUUCGGAAUUACUGGGCGUAAAGC